rnacentral:rRNA from 1 species
CAGCCGCCGCGGUAAUACGUAGGUGGCAAGCGUUGUCCGGAAUUAUUGGGCGUAAAGGGCUCGCAGGCGGUUUCUUAAGUCAGAUGUGAAAGCCCCCGGCUCAACCGGGGAGGGUUAUUGGAAACUGGGAAACUUGAGUGCAGAAGAGGAGAGUGGAAUUCCACGUGUAGCGGUGAAAUGCGUAGAGAUGUGGAGGAACACCAGUGGCGAAGGCGACUCUCUGGUCUGUAACUGACGCUGAGGAGCGAAAGCGUGGGGAGCGAACAGGAUUAGAUACCCCCGUAGUCCCUGUCUCUUAUAC